UACGGGGGGGGCAAGCGUUGUUCGGAAUUACUGGGCGUAAAGGGUUUGUAGGUGGCCUGCUAAGUCAGACGUGAAAUCCCUCAGCUUAACUGGGGAACUGCGUCUGAGACUGGUAGGCUCGAGGACAGGAGAGGAACGCGGAAUUCCAGGUGUAGCGGUGAAAUGCGUAGAUAUCUGGAGGAACACCGGUGGCGAAGGCGGCAUCCUGGACCGGCAUUGACGCUAAAGCGCGAAAGCCAGGGGAGCAAACGGG
rnacentral:rRNA from 1 species